UGAAUCAUCGAAUCUUUGAACGCACCUUGCGCUCUCUGGUAUUCCGGGGAGCACACCUGUUCGAGUGUCAUUGGGAACUCUCAAACAAAAAAGAUAGCUUUGCAGCUGUCUCUGUUUGGAUUUGGGCUCUGCUGCAUUAAUGUGGCUAGUCUUAAAUCUAUUAGCUGGUCCUUAUUGAGGUUUGGUUCUACUCAGUGUGAUAAUUAUCUAACAUUGAGGACAGUCUUAGGACUGGCCAUAGCUCUCUCUGGAUUGCUUCUAAAUUGUCCUGAGGGGGACAAUCAUUCAAUUUCUGNCCUCGGAUCAGGUGGGACUACCCGCUGAACUUAAGCAUAUCAAU
rnacentral:rRNA from 1 species